rnacentral:lncRNA from 1 species
AGUCCUUUUCGGUUCUUCCAUGGGAGGCUGAGCUGGCUGGUGAUGGGCCCAGCAGGUCCCAGAAUUGAAGAAGCUGUUGGAUCACUGAGCAUUGUCAUCAUGCAGCUGCAAGGCUGUCCCACUGGGGAAAGUUUAGAUUUGUUCCUGGGCUCCAAACGGAAGGUGGGAAUUCCAGGGAAACAGAUUUUCACUGCUCUCAGGAGGAAUUUUCCAGUAGCGAGAGCGGUGCAGCAGUGGAAUGGAUCUCUUGAGAGUUGGACAGCUCUCUCUGGAUAGAAUACAAGAAAACCCCGCAUCCCCCAUUCACGGAAAUUCAUGAUUUCUGUGGUUGUCACCGGCACCCGGGCAGCGAGACACUGAGACGCUCCAACUACUCAGAGGUUGGCUUUCGGUGCCCAUCACCUGCUCUGCCCUGUACUAGGCACUGAAGGGGGACCCAGAGAUGGGCAGCAGCCCCCUCUGAAAAGAGCUGGAGGGCUCUUGGGCAAAACAAAGCAGCCCCACAUGAAAAAUUCUUGACAUCUUCAGCAGACCUGGAGCUGUCAUGGAGCUUUUUGUCUCCUUUAAUUGAAAAUUAAUGGUUACUGGGUUGCCACGGAAACAGAGGCCACGGACGCCAGUGGCGCUCACGUCUCACCGAGGGACUGCCGGCGUCAGGAGUCCGGAAUGACCUUGAAAGUUAAAAGAAAAAAAAAAACUUAAAAAAGAAGGGGAGAGGGGGGAAAUGAGGACAGGAGGCUGGGAGAGUGUGUCAGAGCUGAAAGAAGAGAGGAGAGAGAGAGAAGAGAAAGAAAGGAGAGAAAGGAAGAGGGAGAGAAAGGAGAGGAAAAGAAAAGAUAAGAAUUAAAAAGAGAAAAUUGCAGAGGUUGGGAGCAGGGAAGCUUGAGAGGGGACAUUAAAGUGGUAAGUUUUACCUCUUGGUUUUUGUCUCUUACAUUUUUUCUAAAGGCCCGUUGAAACACUGGGAGCUGGGUCUCAGCUCCAAAAUCCUUGAUUCUACAAAUCUGUGUGAGGAAGAAUGACAGCAUCGCCCAGAGCCCCCGAGGGGAAGUGACAAAGGCUCCUGGGUGCCAUGGGCAGCAGCAGCAGACCAGGGGGCAGGGUGGAGGUGUGCGGUGUGGGCACCUCCCCAGGGCCAAGUGGGCUGUGCUGUCGAAAACGGGGGCUGCAGAGGGGACUUUGUCAUGGGGAGCCCGGGAGCUGCCCCAACAUUGCUCCCGCAGCAGUGAGCAGGUGAAAGGGCUCUGUUGGCUGGGCCUUCAGCCUGAAGACACAACAAAAGAACUCAAAUGAGUCAGAGAUGGGGGUACGAUGACGAAGCGGGAGGGUCCUGGCAGGGGGAGGCCAGGGGUGGUUUGCCCAGGAAGAUAAGAGAUAAAGGGAGGCAGUUCUCUGAGCCUCUAGGACAGCCCUCCAGGGAGGCCAGUGGCUCUGGGCUUAGGAAUGUUUUUUCCCUAAGAGAAGGUGGCAGGCUCAACUUAGGGGCACUGGGGACCCCUGAGCAUUCUAGCAGGAAAGGUGGGCUCUUUCCUGAUCAGCCCACCAUACCAGUUCUUCAGUCCUGAGCAUCAGCUCCAGAAAUACAAUUCAAUUCAACAAUUACUGGAUGUCCACAGUGAACCAGGAGCCA